rnacentral:rRNA from 1 species
GACGUAGGGGGCCAGCGUUGCUCGGAAUUACUGGGCGUAAAGGGUUCGUAGGCGGUGUGGUAAGUCGGAAGUGAAAUCUCUGGGCUUAACCCAGAGGCUGCUUUCGAAACUGCCGUGCUAGAGUGCGGGAGAGGCGAGUGGAAUUACAGGUGUAGCGGUGAAAUGCGUAGAUAUCUGUAGGAACACCCGUGGCGAAGGCGGCUCGCUGGACCGCAACUGACGCUGAGGAACGAAAGCUAGGGGAGCAAACAG